UACGAAGGGGGGCUAGCGUUGCUCGGAAUCACUGGGCGUAAAGCGCACGUAGGCGGAUUGCUAAGUCAGGGGUGAAAUCCUGGAGCUCAACUCCAGAACUGCCUUUGAUACUGGCGACCUUGAGUCCGGGAGAGGUGAGUGGAACUGCGAGUGUAGAGGUGAAAUUCGUAGAUAUUCGCAAGAACACCAGUGGCGAAGGCGGCUCACUGGCCCGGUACUGACGCUGAGGUGCGAAAGCGUGGGGAGCAACAGG
rnacentral:rRNA from 1 species